rnacentral:rRNA from 1 species
GAGUUUGAUCCUGGCUCAGAUUGAACGCUGGCGGCAUGCCUUACACAUGCAAGUCGAACGGCAGCACGGGUGCUUGCACCUGGUGUCGAGUGGCGGAACGGGUGAGUAAUACAUCGGAAUGUACCUUGUAGUGGGGGAUAGCUCGGCGAAAGCCGGAUUAAUACCGCAUACGCUCUGAGGAGGAAAGCGGGGGACCUUCGGGCCUCGUGCUACAAGAGCAGCCGAUGUCAGAUUAGCUUGUUGGUGAGGUAAAGCUCACCAAGGCGACGAUCUGUAGCUGGUCUGAGAGGACGACCAGCCACACUGGGACUGAGACACGGCCCAGACUCCUACGGGAGGCAGCAGUGGGGAAUUUUGGACAAUGGGCGAAAGCCUGAUCCAGCAAUGCCGCGUGUGUGAAGAAGGCC